ensembl:lncRNA
GUGUGAAUGAAAACUAAGGUUUCAGUUUUUAUUCAGGAAAGGAGAAUGAAAUCCCUCUUAAUUAGAGGAAACAAAGUGGAUCAAAGUGGGAAACUUGGGGGAAGCAGUCGCUCACAUCUGCCAGUCCAGAUUUUCCCAGAACGGAACAAGAGGGGGAGUAGGAAUGCAAUCAUCAUGUGAAAAACCAGUAAGCUGCAGGAAGAAUGAGAAAAGGCCUCUGCUAGCGAUUAGUGUGGGCUUGCAAUGAACUAAAGCUGGCCAGGUGACUGAAUCAAAACCAGAGUCUAAGCUUCAGGGUGUGCUGAGGGUUGGGCUUCCCCUUGGUGACCGGCUGCCACAACAACCACACGAGGAGGCGGAGAGACCUGUUCCCAUGGCUAUGACCUACUGAGAUGCUCAAACUGCACUUUGUAUUAAAUGUAAGAGGAGAAAUUACAUCAGCACACAGCAGCAGGAAUGGGCUCUGUCUUUGCAACAACGCCUCCUCGUCCCUGCACCUGUUCAGUCUCGCCCGUACAAAUCUGUUCAACACACUGCAACAUCACAGGAAUCGAGACAACAAACUGAUUUUCUCUUAUCAGCUGCUGGGCCUUUACAAUGGGUUUCUGGACGACUGCGUGCCUGUCUGUAAAUCCACAGCUGGCGUUCCCCAGGCGUCUUUUACACCAGGCACACGGCACCCACAGCCCUGCCUUGUUUAGGAGGAAACAAAUGGCAAAUGAAAAGACAUUAAGUUCCACAUGUUACGCACAGGUGUCAGUGUAAUAACGUGUGUCAGAGAGAAAAGGAGAGAUCAGCAGAGCAUUUUGUUUACUCUUCUUUAAUCUCUGUCAGAGAGGACUGCUGGGAAUGCUGGGUAACACUCACUGGUAACCUAUGAUGUUCCCUGUGGAGAACAUUAGGUUAAAGAUAUCGAAUGUCAGGUAAUGUUCAGCCUUACCGGCUGCUAUAUUUAUCUCCAUAAAAGACUGUACUGUAAUGAGUUCUGCAUGAUGUAAAGUUAUCUUUGUCUUGUUUACGCAAUACAUAUGUCUCAACACUGGUUCUUUGUUUCUUUUAUUCACUUGCUCUGUUUUUCUUUCUCUAAACUCAAUAAUGUCUAAAAAAAGGCAAAUUCAUUUGUGUUUUUAUACAAAUUUGGAAUCAUUUAGUGAAUUGUCUAAUAUGCUGCAAGUGUUUACAAUUUUACCCCAUACAGAAAAAGAAAAAAAAAAUGUUAGAGAGAUGAAUCUCUGAGACCCAGGUCAUAUUUUACUGUAACAUCAAAAGAAAGACGACAAAUUUUACUUUAGCUUUUAUAACUAUAUUUUUGGCAUAUUUUUUUCCCAUUAUUUUCAUGUCAUUAAAGAAAAAACAACUUUACAUUAGACUGCAUAAUUCAAUUCAAAUAGAAUGCAAAAAAAAAACCCAACAACAACAACAACAACAACAACAAAAAAAAAAAACAAUUGGCAUUACUGCAAUUCAUGAAAACAUUUAUAUUUAUAAACCAUGUUAUUGAGUGUUAUUGUACCUUAUACCUAAGUGUAUACCUAAGUGCUUUACUAUAUGAUUAUUUACAGUAUUGAAAUGAGUUACCCAAAAAUAAAUAUAAAUAAUAAUAUUAAAAAUGUAAAAUG